CAGACAAGGGAGAAACUCUGUAAGUUCAGUCAUAUAGACACGGUCAAGGCGACCUGCUGGAGAUGAAACAGGCCAUAAGAAUGGGGAAGAAAAAUGAAUGAAGACACUUUGAAUGUGGCAUGUUGGUAUUUCAGAAACUGCUGGUCUACUGGGGUUUUCACACACAACCAUUUCGAAGGUUUAAAGAGAAAGAUCCAAAAAAUAUCCAGUGAGCAGAAGUUCUCUGGGUGAAAAUGCCUUUUUGAUGCCAGAUGUCAGAAGAAAGUGGCCAGACUACUUUGAAUUGAUAUGAAGACCACACUGAGUGCCACUCCUGUCAGCGAAGAAUAGGACACUCCAAAAUCUGCAUGGGCUCUCCAAAACUGGACAGGAGUGAACUGGACAAAUGUGUACCCAUCUUCUGAUGGCUGCCUCCUGCAGGAUAAAACAUCAUGUCACAAAGCUUAAAUGAUCUCAUUCUUGAACAUGACAGUGAGUUCAGCGUACUCAAAUAGCCUCCAAAGUCACCAGAUCUCAAUGCAUAUUGAGGUAGAACAGGAAAAAGGGCUUCCAACCAAGCUGGGAGGAUUUAAAAAAAAACUGUUGAGUGUCUCACUUCACGGCUCUUCCUGUUUGAGUUUCCUCACUCUGCUCCGCACAGAGCAGACGUCCCUGCAGGAUAAUACUCGGAUGAGCAUUAUCUGCAGAAAGCAGCCUCAACUUAAUCCAAACUGCACCGAGGGCAGGAAACUAUUGACGACCUCCGUGUAGAAGGACGGGUCGUCCUUCCCUCGACCUCCGUGCUCGUCCAUUUCCUUCCAACUCUUUUAAGAUUUCUUGUCCUUUUCACUGACUCAUGAUGUUUCCUUAUGCAGAUCCCUUUUAGCCAAGCAGAUUUUAAGUAAGGAAGUAUUGGUUGUACUUAUCCUGUUAGGGCCACCUUUGGUACUAUGUUGUAGCUUUUUGCUGCAAAAAAUUCCUAAUAUACAUUACAGGUUUCAGAGCAGGUAAGAAUAGAUUUGCUUUACAGUUUAGUGGAGUCUAGGAGCAUUUCAUAAAUAAACUGGGAGUCCAUCCAACAUGUUUCACGUGUCUCACUCCUGUCACAGCUGGAAGAGGCUCCAGUCCGUUCUGCAACCAUGAACUUUACAGGCAGCAGAAAAUAAAUAAAUACCUUUAUAUUAUUUUUGCAACAAUAUUUUGCAAAAGUUGACUAUUUUCACAUAUAAAUAAAUGUUUUUAGUGUCUUCAAA